CCCCUCUCAGGAUCUCACCUGGAGAGUUUCCACUACUCUAUCGGUCCCGGCUACGGGAGGGAGAGUUGAGCAGAGCCAUACCCAUUCCAUUCCUAGUUUGGCCAGUGACUAGCGAGUGAGAGGCAAUCUGCUACAAAU